GUCUCUCUCUGCUUUCUGGCUGCCUUGGGUUGAGCAGCUUCACUCCGCUAUACUUUUGUACUGUGCUGUUUCCGCCCUGGAGCCAGCCCUCCAGGAGAACUGUCGUCACAUGCUCAGACUUCUUGUUCCACUGCAGCUGGAUGUGAGCACAUAACUUUUAACUGGAGAGCUUGAUGGGACAGUAUCAGGAAGUACUUCUAUGAAAGUGUGCUGGUUGCCGGGUACUAGAGAACUCCAGGCAUGUUUGAUGUGCUGCCUGCACAGGUCCCGGUGUGCAGAGUAUAGAAGAGUAUUAGCUGUUGAUUAUGAUUCUAAGCUCUCUAACAUCAGAGCUGUCAAAGCAAGUUUUGAUCCCUGAACAUGAGGGAGAAGCUCAGGGAAAAUGCCUAUUUUUGCACGAGUUAGUUGGCGAGGAAAACUGUUUCCUGCAAUGAGAUGAUCUAGCGCAGCUUCUCGGUGCACAUCCUGAAUCCCCCUGUGCUGCCUGUCAGGUGGGUUUGCAGCUCAGCUCUGUGGCAGGGAUGGCGACUCAGUUCUUGCGAACUUGCCUGCAGAUGGGUGGCUCUCGUGGUUCAGAAGGUUUUCCUUCAGCUAAAUCUGCUCUUUUCACUUCAAUAAUUUUUGCGCGUAUGUGCUAGUCUUGCACUUUGACGGUAGAAGGAAUACAGGUGGAAUACAAGGCCUGAAUAUUUGUGUGCACUCUAAAUUUGUAUGUUGAAACCUAAUCCCCGAUUGAUGGUGCUUUGAUUAAAGGUGGAGCCUUUGGGGAAUGCCUAGGUUCUCAUGAAUAGGGUUUUUACUUUUGUAAGAGGCCCGAGGGAGCUUGCUCACCUCUCCCACAACGUCAGGAUGCAGAGAGGUAUCAUCUGGGUACCAGGAAAUGGAAACCCAUGAGAUACCAAAUCUGCCAGUGACCUGGCCUUGGACUUCUCAGCCACGGGAACAGUGAGAUACAAAUUCCUCUUGUUUAUGAGCCACUCAGUUUAUGGUAUUUUGUUUCAGCAGCCCGAAAAGACUAAGAAAAACUACCAUGGUACUUCUCAUAGCACUAGGCUAUUCAACUAUAUUCUAGGCAGAAAGAAAACUACUUGCUGAUAACAUUGAUGACACUGGUUUGAAUUUUUUUACUAUCUUGUGUCCCGUUGAACAUAUCCUUGCCUAUUAAAACAACUCUUAAGAUUAUAAUGCUUAGAGUCAAAGAUAUACAAAUGUCAGGUGUAGUUUACUAUACACAUAACAGGUGCGCUGUAAAUAUCCAAAAGGUUGUCCAAUGUAUGUGAGGAGAGAGGAUCUAAAGUUAUCCUGCACCACUGAUUUCUUCCAGUAAAAUCUGUUGCCACCACGUAAAACUUCUGUUUGCUUUGCAGUGUGCACAUAUGUCCUCCUCCUGUGGAGAAGCUGUAGGCUGGGCACUAUGGGGAAACACCACAGUUGUCUGGGAGGGUGCCCUUGCCCUCUUUAUGCCCAGCUUUUUAUCAUUUCCUAGCCUGUGCCCCUGGGUUGGGCACAAAGAGGAAGUGAGCCUUUGUGUUUGGAUUCUAAGGGCACUUGAUGUGUCUGCUAUGUACCAGACACUAUGGAAUGAUAUGCUUUAUAUCAUCUCAUUGCAUCUUGGGGCUGAUGAAGCGGGUAUUUCUGCUCCAUGUUACAAUAAAAGUAUUAAGUUUGGGAUAUUUAAACAACUUCACACAGUCUCUUAGAUCUUAAAUAAAGCCAGGCAAAGACUGUAAGACCACUGAACUUCAAAGUGCAUGAUUUUCUUAUGUGUACUUUACUGUUGGAGAAAAGUAUAUUUUUUGAAAGUAAAUCAUAUUAAGUAAUAUAAAGUAUAGCAUAUUUUGAAGCAAUUUCCUCACUGUGAAAUAUUACGGCAUAUUUCUGUAGUAAAUGGAAAGCAAUUUGGGGAAAGGUUGAUUCCCCCCCUUAAUUAUCUAAAACAAAUGAUCUUACAAUUACAUGAAAAGCUGACUAUUAUAGUCUAGCCAGUGGCUUGGCUUCUUGUCCAAACCUCACAGUGAAAUAUGCAGACUUUCUGGAACCACAUAUUAAAAUCUCUGCAGUUGAAUCAGCCCUUCUUUUUUUCUGAGUAACCUAAGCUCAAUCCUAUUCAGCAUGUCAGAGAACUCCAAGGAUGAAAUCUUAAAUCUUACCAGUGUCAAAAGGUAACUGCUUGACAAUCAGUAUCUCAGUUUCAUGCUCACAAAAAGUGGCUUUAUUCGAAUUCAUUUUGAGGCGUUUGAGUUUAUCCUGCAGUGAGAUGCCCUGUGCCAGAGCCUUAUAAAAAGAAAUCAAGAGUAGGAUGAUCUUUUUCAUAAACGAACUUUGAAGAAAAGUCCCAAACAGAUUCUCCAAGAUGGUUUUAAAGGAGCAUGUGGCUUCCAAGAUGACUAUUUUGAAUGACGGCCUCUCGGGCAUUCAGUGCAGUCAAUGUGACAUGGCUGUGGAGGAGCACAAGGAGCACCAGAGAAAAAGUCAGGAAGUGGCCGUGUGCUCUCUAAGGCUGCAUCCGGCUGAUGGGUGUGCACCCCUGCAUCCCAGCACUACUGUCUGAGUGUACCUUGGGUUACUUACCUGUUUGGACUUUUCAGUUGUACUACAGCUUGGAUAACCACUCCCCAAACCUUCUCCAAGUUUAAUGUCACAAUUUGAAAUUAAGACUUUCAAAUUCUUGUGAAAGUUCAUGAUGCUAAUAAUUAGCCUUGGUCAGAAAUUCCACAAUCAUCUAUGUAUGUGUGAGGCCUGGCUAUCUUUGGGCCCAGUUUGACAUUUAAAAAGACACCAGCUGAAUAUGUUUAGAGUUUUAUGACCCUUAGAAGACUACAGGAUACUGCUUGUUUUAGUUCACCAGUUUCUGCUGACCCUCUUUAUGCUUGUCUAGAGCUAAUGAAUCAGAAUAAAACCAAAUAAACAUG